rnacentral:rRNA from 1 species
UUUUUCCUACGGGAGGCAGCAGUGGGGGAUAUUGCACAAUGAGGGAAACCCUGAUGCAGCGACGCCGCGUGGGUGAAGAAGCGCCUCGGCGCGUAAAGCCCUGUCAGCAGGGAAGAAAAUGACGGUACCUGAAGAAGAAGCCCCGGCUAACUACGUGCCAGCAGCCGCGGUAAUACGUAGGGGGCAAGCGUUAUCCGGAUUUACUGGGUGUAAAGGGGGCGCAGACGGCGAUGCAAGCCAGGAGUGAAAGCCCGGGGCCCAACCCCGGGACUGCUCUUGGAACUGCGUGGCUAGAGUGACGUAGG